UUACUGUGGACUGCAACUUAGCCGUAGCUGUGCAAGCUUGCAUAUUUAUUAUGUUAAUCCCUAAAUUGGAAUCUGAAAUUCUUAUCUUGACCAAAAUAAAUAGCAGUUGGAAAGACAUCAGUGUUUUUUCUUUCUUCUGCAGGUGCAUUGCUCACCGAAUUCAGGGUGAAUACGAUGGAAAUGAUUAACUAUUCAAGUCCAUAUCAACUAAUCCCGCUUCAGUUCCCCGGCACAGGGCUCGCUGCUCAUUACAACAGCCCUGACUAGAAGCUCACGGGGUGAGGAGGACGACGAUGCCUCAUUCCCAGUGAAGGGGAAGGGGUGCAGAGCUGGUGCUGCCUCUGGAGUAUUUGAAGACCCUCAGUAGGGAUUAGAGCUCCACCGUACAACAGAACAUCAACAUCUGGAAAAUCACAGUAAAGCAGUUAAGUAGAAAGUAAUAGAUCCAGAGUACUGAAUAUCAACUUUUCACCCAGUGGUGAGCUGAUGCUAGGGGAAGAAGGAAUACUAGACUCUGAUCUUAGCUCUUGUUUGGCUAUACUUCCUCUGUCCUGUCUUCCUUCUCUCUACACUCUCAAGUGCAUAUGUCAGCACUUUUCAACCAGGAAAAACAAAACAAAACAGCAACAAAAGGAGGAGAGAAAUAAAAGGAAAUGAUACAGGAAUUUCUCCAAAGUCUACAUGAUGCAGACACUGAGAACAAAAAUCUUUUUAUAUGUCUUCUCAGAGGCCAAGAAGUGUGAACAAUUGGUUCAUGGACAAUUAAUUUGUUGUAGCCUUCAACAUUUAGAUAUGUCUGGCUGAGGAAUGUAUCCUUUACUUCAGGAACAAAAUGAUUAUUUAGCUAACCCAGUCUAUCGUAGCACUGUGAACAAAUGCUUCUCCAAUCUGGUAUUUGAAAAAUCCAUAAGGAUAAAUUAAAUUAACAUGACUUUCUCCUGGAAGAAAAUAGGCUGAAGAAAAGACUAAUUUCUAAUUUUCAUGCAGUUGAUGUUACAAAAAACCAUCAAAUAUUAUCUUACUUCUUAUAUUUAUCUUGCCUAUUUUAUUUUAUUCUAUUUUAUUUCUUGUCCUUUGGAAAAGCAUGUUCUUCACCAUGAAUUAUUAAUGUAAUUAUAAUUUUUAGUUAUAUAUAAAAACAUUCUUAAAAACCAUAAAAAAAAAAAAAGCCUGCACCCUCUCUAGUUCUUUCCAUUUCUCCCAUUGCUACUUCUACCACAAAUCUGACAAGUUCCUGAAUGUGCAACUGAGUCGUGAAUCAAGUGCUUGAAGCUGUACACAGACAACAGAAAUAGGUCACUGCUUCUUCAAGAAUCUGUGCUUCAGUCAUAUUCACUUCUAUUUUUAUUCAAGAUUCAAGAAUUAAAAAAAAAAUAAAAAGUAGCAACACUGGCUUAGCUUAUGAAAACAAUUUCAAACUAGCAAUGCAAACUUGCACUCCAUGAGUUGUCUGCCUUUGUCUACUCAGACCCUGGAAAACAUAUGUGUAUUUAAUUGAGGAUUUACUUUAUGCUGUUAUAAACUAUAAUGGUAAUAUAGUGCCUUUUGUAAGAAGCUUAAACAAACUUGCUUGUCAGGAUUGCAAUCUCCCUGUCUAGCUCAAGGACUGAUUACUUGGGCCCCAGAAAUUUCUAGCAGUGGUGAUAACACAACAGAAGGGAAGGCGAUGGAUUGGUUUCACUUAGUUCCCCUUGCUGCGAGAUGUUCCAUUGCUGUUGUUACACCCAGCAUCUGUAUGAGAAUUAUUCAGUGAGACAAUGGUUUGCUCCUCUGAUAAGGGUUAUUGACCAAAGAAAGAUCUAAUGACAGAGCAAAGAGUCCUCUUGUGUCUAUCAGCUCAGUAGUGGGAACAGUCUUUAUUACUGUCUGGUUACAUGAAGAGUUUCAAUGGACAGUAGAGCAGUACUGAAAUUUGUAAGUGAGAGACUAAAUUGUAAGGCAAAAGUAUUAUUCCUUCUUUUUCUUUUUUUCUUAUUUUUUCUUUUUUUCUUUUUUUCUUUUUUUGCCUGCAAAUGUUAUCAUUUAGCUGAACUAAUAUCGAGCUACACUUUUUGAGAAAUGCAGAAUAUUCUGUUCUCUAUCCAUAAGAGACAAAGAGAAAGUGAAUGCAAUUGCAUUACAAUACAAGAGUGGCAGAAAAAAAUUGUGCAUUAUUUAUUAUUUCUGUUCAUCAAAGCUUAUCCACAUUGUAAAUCUCACAUAGUAAACAGUGUCCAUCUAAAUACUUCUUUAAGUAGUAAGAGAAUAACCAUACAAUUAUUAUAUACAUAAUAGAAUAUAGAAAUGUGAUGUAAACUUACCGAGUCAAAAAUUGUUAAAGUCUGAUAAUUUAAAAUACUUUUUACUGACUCAAAAUGAAUAUUGCCAAUAAAAGAAUGUAUGGA
ensembl:lncRNA